AGUCGAGCGGAAACGAUGGAAGCUUGCUUCCAGGCGUCGAGUGGCGGACGGGUGAGUAACGCGUAGGAAUCUGCCUGAUAGUGGGGGAUAGCCCGGAGAAAUCCGGAUUAAUACCGCAUAGUCUAUUCGUAGUAAAGGGGGCCUCUAUUUAUAAGCUCUCGCUAUCAGAUGAGCCUGCGUCAGAUUAGCUUGUUGGUGAGGUAAAAGCUCACCAAGGCAACGAUCUGUAGCUGGUCUGAGAGGAUGAUCAGCCACACUGGGACUGAGACACGGCCCAGACUCCUACGGGAGGCAGCAGUGGGGAAUAUUGCACAAUGGGCGCAAGCCUGAUGCAGCCAUGCCGCGUGUGUGAAGAAGGCCUUCGGGUUGUAAAGCACUUUCAGUCAGGAGGAAAGGUUAGUAGUUAAUACCUGCUAGCUGUGACGUUACUGACAGAAGAAGCACCGGCUAACUCCGUGCCAGCAGCCGCGGUAAUACGGAGGGUGCGAGCGUUAAUCGGAAUUACUGGGCGUAAAGCGUACGCAGGCGGUUUGUUAAGCGAGAUGUGAAAGCCCCGGGCUCAACCUGGGAACUGCAUUUCGAACUGGCAAACUAGAGUGUGAUAGAGGGUGGUAGAAUUUCAGGUGUAGCGGUGAAAUGCGUAGAGAUCUGAAGGAAUACCGAU
rnacentral:rRNA from 1 species